rnacentral:rRNA from 1 species
UCUUUAAAUAGGGACUAGUAUCAACGGCAUCACGAGGGUUACACUGUCUCCUUUCUUCAAUCAGUGAAACUGAUCUCCCCGUGAAGAAGCGGGGAUAUAAUCAUAAGACGAGAAGACCCCAUGGAGCUUUAAAUUUUACUGCAACUUAGUCAGAUAAUCCAUUAUAAUUUACAAAGCCUGCAUGUUAAUUUUAGGUUGGGGUGACCGCGGAGUAAAAACUAACCUCCACGACGAAAAGAACUAAGUCUUUAUCCAAGAGCUACAACUCUAAGAAUUAGAACACUAACGACAAUGACCCGACAAUCGAUCAACGGACCAAGUUACCCUGGGGAUAACAGCGCAAUCUACUUCGAGAGCCCAUAUCGACAAGUAGGCUUACGACCUCGAUGUUGGAUCAGGGUAUCCCAGUGGUGCAGCCGCUACUAAUGGUUC